CGUUUCAAAGAAAAAAGCCAUGCAUGUGUAAGUGUAAAUUGUUAAGUUUGGAACUGCGAAUGGCUCAUUAUAUCAGUUCAUAGUUUAUUUCGGUGAAGUCGUACUACUUCGGAUAACCGUAGUAAUUCCUAGGGCUAAUACAUGAGAAAGUCCUCUGGUGAGGUGUGUUUAUUAGAAUGAAAACCAUAUGCUUCGGCAUGAUAGUGAGUAAUAGUAACCUAUCGUAUCGCAUGCUUAAUGUAGCGAUGAGUCUUUCAAGUUUCUGCCCUAUCAGCUUUCGAUGGUAGUAUAUGGGCCUACCAUGGCAGUAACGGGUAACGAAGAAUUUGGGUUCGAUUUCGGAGAGGGAGCCUGAGAGAU
rnacentral:rRNA from 1 species